UCGGGAAUUUUGCGCAAUGGACGAAAGUCUGACGCAGCAACGCCGCGUGAGGGAUGACGGCCUUCGGGUUGUAAACCUCUUUCGCCUGCGACGAAGCGAGAGUGACGGUAGCAGGUAAAGAAGCACCGGCCAACUACGUGCCAGCAGCCGCGGUAAUACGUAGGGUGCGAGCGUUGUCCGGAAUUAUUGGGCGUAAAGGGCUCGUAGGCGGUUUGUCGCGUCGGGAGUGAAAACACACAGCUUAACUGUGUGCUUGCUUUCGAUACGGGCAGACUAGAGGCAUGCAGGGGAGAACGGAAUUCCUGGUGUAGCGGUGAAAUGCGCAGAUAUCAGGAGGAACACCGGUGGCGAAGGCGGUUCUCUGGGCAUGUCCUGACGCUGAGGAGCGAAAGUGUGGGGAGCGAA
rnacentral:rRNA from 1 species